AUGUCCUCUGGGGUUCCUUCAAAGCACUUCGGUAGGGCCAUUUCCAGCCUCGGAUGUCAUCGGCCCUCACUGAAGUGUUUGGGGGAACUCCGGCUGGCAU
rnacentral:pre_miRNA from 1 species